rnacentral:miRNA from 1 species
UUUGGUUUGAAGGGGGCUCUG